rnacentral:rRNA from 1 species
UCUCGCCUGUUUUAUCAAAAACAUAGCUUUUAGCUACACCAAUAUUAAAAGUAACGCCUGCCCUGUGGAAACCCUAAACGGCCGCGGCAUAAAACCGUGCAAAGGUAGCACAAUCACUUGUCCCUUAAAUGAGGACCCGUAUGAAAGGCAAUAUGAGAGAGAACCUGUCUCCUAAGGUAGGCCAACGAAAUUGAACAGCCAGUACAAAAGCUGACAUUUCCAAGCAAGACAAAAAGACCCCAUGGAACUUCAAUAGACCAUUAAUAAUAGUUAAUGUUAUAUUUUAGUUGGGACAACUGUAGAAAAAUUAAACUUCUAAACAUAAUAAGACCAACAAGUCUAAUACAUAUGCUUGAUCCAGUCAAACUGAUUAAUGAAAUAAGCUACCCUGGGGAUAACAGCGCCACCUUCUUAAAGAGUCCAUAUCAACAAGAAGAUCUACGACCUCGAUGUUGGAUCAGGGUACCCAGAUGGUGCAGCAGCUAUCAAUGGUUCGUUUGUUCAACGAUUAAUACCCUACGUGAUCUGAGUUCAGACCGG